GAAAUGCGAUAAGUAAUGUGAAUUGCAGAAUUCAGUGAAUCAUCGAAUCUUUGAACGCACAUUGCGCCCGCCAGUAUUCUGGCGGGCAUGCCUGUUCGAGCGUCAUUUCAACCAUCAAGCCCCCGGCUUGUGUUGGGGACCUGCGGCUGCCCGCAGGCCCUGAAAAACAGUGGCGGGCUCGCUGUCACACCGAGCGUAGUAGCAUACAUUCUCGCUCAGGGCGUGCUGCGGGUUCCGGCCGUUAAACGACCUUCAUAACCCAAGGUUGACCUCGGAUCAGGUAGGAAGACCCGCUGAACUUAGGC
rnacentral:misc_RNA from 1 species